AUUGAACGCUGGCGGCAGGCUUAACACAUGCAAGUCGAGCGGGGGAAGGUAGCUUGCUACCGGACCUAGCGGCGGACGGGUGAGUAAUGCUUAGGAAUCUGCCUAUUAGUGGGGGACAACAUCUCGAAAGGGAUGCUAAUACCGCAUACGUCCUACGGGAGAAAGCAGGGGAUCUUCGGACCUUGCGCUAAUAGAUGAGCCUAAGUCGGAUUAGCGAGUUGGUGGGGUAAAGGCCUACCAAGGCGACGAUCUGUAGCGGGUCGUAGAGGAUGAUACGCCACACUGGGACUGAGACACGGGCCAGACUCCUACGGGAGGCAGCAGUGGGGAAUAUUGGACAAUGGGGGGAACCCUGAUCCAGCCAUGCCGCGUGUGUGAAGAAGGCCUUAUGGUUGUAAAGCACUUUAAGCGAGGAGGAGGCUACUCUAGUUAAUACCUAGGGAUAGUGGACGUUACUCGCAGAAUAAGCACCGGCUAACUCUGUGCCAGCAGCCGCAGUAA
rnacentral:rRNA from 1 species